ACGGGUGAGUAACACGUGGGCAACCUGCCCUACAGAUGGGGAUAACUCCGGGAAACCGGGGCUAAUACCGAAUAAUCAGUUUGUCCGCAUGGGCAAACUCUGAAAGACGGUUUCGGCUGUCACUGUAGGAUGGGCCCGCGGCGCAUUAGCUAGUUGGUGGGGUAAUGGCCUACCAAGGCAACGAUGCGUAGCCGACCUGAGAGGGUGAUCGGCCACACUGGGACUGAGACACGGCCCAGACUCCUACGGGAGGCAGCAGUAGGGAAUCUUCCACAAUGGACGAAAGUCUGAUGGAGCAAUGCCGCGUGAGCGAAGAAGGUUUUCGGAUCGUAAAGCUCUGUUGUAAGGGAAGAACACGUACGGGAGUAACUGCCCGUGCCAUGACGGUACCUUAUUAGAAAGCCACGGCUAACUACGUGCCAGCAGCCGCGGUAAUACGUAGGUGGCAAGCGUUGUCCGGAAUUAUUGGGCGUAAAGCGCGCGCAGGCGGUUCUUUAAGUCUGAUGUGAAAGCCCACGGCUCAACCGUGGAGGGUCAUUGGAAACUGGAGAACUUGAGUACAGAAGAGGAAAGCGGAAUUCC
rnacentral:rRNA from 1 species